GCUCAUCUUCGGAUGAGUGGAGAGUGGCGCACGGGUGAGUAACACGUAUCUGAUCUGCCCCGAAGAGGGGAAUAACGCUCCGAAAGGAGUGCUAAUACCCCAUAGGCUCCCGCGAACUAUAGGCGCGAGAGAAAAGGCUAAGGCGCUUUGGGAUGAGGCUGCGGUCCAUCGUCUGCUUGGUGAGGUAAAAGCUCACCAAGGCAACGACGGAUAGGGGACCUGAGAGGGUGAACCCCCACACUGGCACUGAGACACGGGCCAGACUCCUACGGGAGGCAGCAGUGAGGAAUAUUGCACAAUGGGCGCAAGCCUGAUGCAGCGACGCCGCGUGGGCGAGGAAGGUCUUCGGAUCGUAAAGCCCUUUUCCAGGUGACGAGAAAGGACGGUAGCCUGGGAAUAAGUCUCGGCUAACUACGUGCCAGCAGCCGCGGUAAAACGUAGGAGGCGAGCGUUAUCCGGAGUUACUGGGCGUAAAGCGCGUGUAGGCGGUUAUGCAGGUCAGUCGUGAAAGCUCCCAGGCUAAACCGGGAGAGGUCGUCUGAAACCGUGUAACUAGAGUAUGGCAGAGGGAUGUAGAAUUCCGGGUGUAGUGGUGAAAUGCGUAGAUAUCCGGAGGAAUACCAGUGGCGAAGCGGCAUCCUGGGCCAAAACUGACGCUGAGACGCGAAAGCAUGGGGAGCGAACGGGAUUAGAAACCCCGGUAGUCCAUGCCGUAAACGAUGCACACUAGUGUUCGUGCCAGAAACUGGUGUGAGUGCCGCAGCAACGCGAUAAGUGUGCCGCUGGGGAGCACGGUCGCAAGCUAAACUCAAAGAAUUGACGGG
rnacentral:rRNA from 1 species